rnacentral:rRNA from 2 species
UGCAGAAUCCCGUGAACCAUCGAGUUUUUGAACGCAAGUUGCGCCCGAAGCCAUUAGGCUGAGGGCACGUCUGCCUGGGCGUCACGC